CCUACGGGGUGCUGCAGUGGGGAACAUUGGACAAUGGGCGAAAGCCUGAUCCAGCCAUGCCGCGUGUGUGAAGAAGGCCUUCGGGUUGUAAAGCACUUUCAGUGGGGAAGAAAGCCUUGGGGCUAAUACCCUCGAGGAAGGACAUCACCCACAGAAGAAGCACCGGCUAACUCCGUGCCAGCAGCCGCGGUAAUACGGAGGGUGCGAGCGUUAAUCGGAAUUACUGGGCGUAAAGCGCGCGUAGGCGGUCUGAUAAGCCGGUUGUGAAAGCCCCGGGCUCAACCUGGGAACGGCAUCCGGAACUGUCAGGCUAGAGUGCAGGAGAGGAAGGUAGAAUUCCCGGUGUAGCGGUGAAAUGCGUAGAGAUCGGGAGGAAUACCAGUGGCGAAGGCGGCCUUCUGGACUGACACUGACGCUGAGGUGCGAAAGCGUGGGUAGCAAACAGGAUUAGAUACCCUAGUAGUC
rnacentral:rRNA from 1 species